rnacentral:rRNA from 1 species
GACGAACGCUGGCGGCGUGCUUAACACAUGCAAGUCGAGCGGAGCGGCGAACGGGUGAGUAACGCGUGAGUAACUGCCCCCCUCUCUGGGAUAACAGUUGGAAACGGCUGCUAAUAACUGGUAGUGGGGGAUGACUCGCGUCCUAUCAGCUUGUUGGUGGGGUAGUGGCCUACCAAGGCGACGACGGGUGGCCGGCCUGGGAGGGCGACCGGCCACAUUGUGCUGAGGUACGGCCCAAACUCCUACGGGAGGCAGCGGUGGGGAAUAGAGCACAAUGGGGGAAACCCUGAUGCAGCAACGCCGCGCGCGGGAUGACGGCCUUCGGGUUGUAAACCGCUUUCAGCCAUGACGCGGUAGGGGCAGAAUAAGCACCGGCUAACUACGUGCCAGCAGCCGCGGUAAUUC